UGAGAACAAGCUUUAAAGCGUUUCAUUUACACUGAAGAGUUGCCUGCCUAUCAGCCGCAGGGUUUUCAA
rnacentral:tRNA from 1 species